UGGCCGAGUCGUUAAGGCGUUGGACUCGAAAUCCAAUGGGGUUUCCCCCGCGCAGGUUCAAAUCCUGU
rnacentral:tRNA from 1 species